rnacentral:misc_RNA from 1 species
CUGCUCAUGCAUACACACCAAUCACACGCGCCAACCCCACUUCCUGUUUUCAUAGAGGAGAGCGCCCUCCCCACACGCUGCUGUUGCACGCAUCAUAUUUCUCGAGCUCGUAACAGUUCUUUCGCAGUUUAUCGCUUGACAUAUUUUGCUGAAAGACGCCGUGGCUGUGCGCACUGGCAGCUCGUCGUACAGAGCCGUUGAUCCCCUCAUUUCUCUCCCCUUCCUAUCCACCUGCGGUGCAUCACCAUGACGUACCCACUGAAACAGGCGGAGUACAAUGUGGGCACCUUGGAGGAGCGGCAGGCGAAGUAUGCGACGUGCAUCGCGGAGCUUCGCAAGGUGCUGAAGAACCCUGAAAAGCAACUGGUGGUGAGCGAGAAGAUGCUUGAUUUGUACAGCAAGGAUGAGUCGCACCACAUGCAUGUGCUUCCUGCCGCUGCGGUAAUCCCGAGCUCUGUGGAGGAGGUGGUGGCAGUGGUGAAAGUGUGCGCGGCGCACAAGGUGCCCAUGACGCCCCGCGGCGCUGGCACUGGUGUGGAGGGUGGCGUCAUCCCUUACGCUGGCGGCGUCGUCAUUGACACGGUGGGACUCACCAGCAUGAACUUCGACAUCGACAACGCGUGUGUAUGGGUUGGCGCUGGCGUGAGGAAGCUGGCACUGAACCGCGCAGCGAGCGAGAGGGGCUUCCUGUUCGGGCCUGACCCCGCGUCGGACCCGUCCGUUGGCGGGAUGGUGUCGACGUCCGGGAGCGGGAUGUCAACGCUGCGCUACGGGACGACGCGCGAGAACGUGAUCGCGCUACGCGUUGUGACGCCGCGCGGAGACGUUGUGCAGACGCGGCAGGCUGUGCGGAAGUCGUCCUCUGGGCUGGAGCUGACGCAGCUGUACAUCGGCAGUGAGGGCACGCUUGGGAUCGUGUGCGAGGUUUGCUUCCGGCUGUUCCCCGCGACGAAGUACUCCGCUGGCGGCUACGCCGCCUUCGAGUCUACAGGUGAUGCUGUGCGCUCCGUCGUCGCGCUGCGGCAGCGCGGUGUGCCGCAGACGCUGCUGCGGUGCGAACUGAUGAACAAAGGGAUCGUUGAGGCGACGAACAGCUACUGCAAGACGGCGCUGCCCGAGAUGGCGAUUGUGCUGCUGGAGUUCACCGGCAAUGACCAAGGGAUGAGUGACAUCAAGCGCGACUACCAGUACGUGGAGAAGAUCUUCAAGGAGGUGGGAAAGGCAAAGGUGAUGCACUACUUGCGGUCUGGUAAGGAGAUGGACGACGUGUGGACCGCGCGCCGUUCCUGCUACUUCUCUGCCAUGCACAGCCGCGGCAAGGCGGAGAAAGUGUUUGGAACGGAUGUAUGCGUACCGAUUUCGAAGCUGACGGAGAUAAUCGAGUACACAGAGGCUGAGUUUGCGAAGGCGAACAAGAAGUGCUUAAUCUGCGCACACAUCAGCGACGGCAACUUCCACCUGGGCGUCCCCUUCUCUAACAAGCAGGAGAUAGCGGAGCUGCGGGUGUUGGAGACAAAAAUGAUCAAGCGUGCCAUCGAGCUUGGCGGCACAACUUCUGGUGAGCACGGCAUCGGUGUGGGCAAGGUGCACCUCGUCACAGGCGAGCACGGCCAGUCGCACAUCGAUGUACAGGAGGCGAUCAAGGUUGCAUUGGACAGGGACAAUCUGAUGAACCCCGGUGCAUUCUACCCGUUCCAGCAGCGUCUGUACCCGACGGCACACCUGUAAGAGCUGCUGACGGCAGCGCUCUCGCGUGUCCAUGUGUGUGCUGGUGGUGCUGCUCCUUUUCCGCAGAUUAGGGGCGACCGCCAGAGUCGUAGUAGCACCGACUCUUUUCUUUGUGGGCUUUUUGGCUGUGCCUUUCAUUUGCGGUUGUCGCUGGAAAGCUGUGUUGUUGCACGCUGCGGCUGCGGCUGCUCUCUGCGUGCCCUCCUUUUACGCUCGUCUGGUUGGGGGAGGGGGACGGGCGUGUUUGCGUUUUGCGGUUCUCUUUGAAGGCGCCUGCUGCUCCAGAAGGCCCGCCUUCCUCUUCUUGCGUCUGCGCGUGCGUGCGUGUCUUUUCACCCUUCUGUUUCUUCUUUUUGUUUUGAGGCAAAUAAUGUCCAUCGUCGUUAUGGCCGCCCAUCUCUCUCUCUCACGCACACUCUGUCUCCUGCGUAGCCCCACCCUUCUGUCUCUUCCACCGUUGGCGUUGGCCCUUCUCUGUCCCUCUCGCUGUUGCUUUCGCGUUGUCCCCCACCCCCUUGUUCUCCGUGUGCACCUCCGCGUGUAUCUCUCUCGAGCUCUCUGCCGAUGUUGUUUGUGUGUCUGAGCGAGUGUGUGCGGCUGCGUACGUUCGCGUGCACGUGCUGUCGUGCGCGCGAGCUCCAGGACGUGGCUGCUUCUCCUCCGUCCCUCUCUCGCUGUAUGCGCUGUAUUGCGUCAGAUGCAAAUGGCAUCUGCAGGGCAACAGCGAACGGGGAUGGGGGAGAACAGCGACCCCCCAACACCACGUCCUUUGAGAUGCCCAUGCGCGCAGUGGGCGUGGGGGCCUUGAGCCAUUGCUAACCGUUGCAGUCGCGAGGCCAGACAGGCGCACACACUCACACGAAUGCACGCUCAUGUGCACCAGCGGGCGGACAGUCGGGGAGGGGGUGGUGGUGGCUGCGCCCGUUGUUGACGACUUCAACGUUGCUGCACAACCGCUUACCAGCAUGUUUGACGUUCGGCGCAGCACGGCGCACUUUUCGCUUGCUAUUUUUCUCCCCUUUGAAAAUGCCGAUGUGAAGGAAUGCGAGGGAGGGAUGCCAUCCAGGCAGGGCGGACAGACGCGCCGUCAACGGAGGGUUGCGGCUCCAGAGGCGCCUUGGCGGGGGGAGUGAAAUAGCUCGGGAAGCCAGAGAUAGAGGGAGAGACAGCGCGCGCAGAUGGCUGCAUGACGGCAUACGUGCACGUGUGUUUGUUUCUGCAGUCAGCGGAGGCUGUUUGCAUAGGAGGAAAGCCCAAGACAUGCAUUGCAUGCAUGUAAGUAUGCGUGUAUCUGUGCGUGCGUUUUUCUCUACAGGCAGAUAGCCAAUCGUGCGUUAAACAAGAGUAAGAAGGCGAGAGGCGCUACCCCUGUGAAGCCAAGAGGAUGACGAACUGCCGGCACACCACCGCACAGCUUCGAGGCGAAGAAGGAGAAGGAGUAGUCGUGAGCUCUGUGUGGCUCUGCUUCGCCUUUCUUUAUGCUUGCAUAAGGCUUCCGAUCAUGCGUACGGCUCCCCUUGCACACUUGCGGAAGGAGUGCUGCUUUCGUGUAGCGUGGGAAGUGGGAGGGCAGGCAGAGUAAGGGGGGGAGCACGUGAUAGGAUGGGGAGGUCGGCACAGGGUGCCCUCCCCUCUCCCCUGGAGACUGCAUACGCACACACACACACACACAGAGACGCCGUCAAACCCACAUUAUACCAGUGCGCGUGCUGCUCGACACUCCAGCGGCAAACACAUCCGCUCCCGUUCCUCCCCACACAAUGGUGCACGGACAACGAUGCGCAUGCUCUCGUGGCUCAUGGCAAGUGGAGUAGGUAACGCUUAUCUUCCGUGCUCUUUGGCUUUCUUGCUUUUGCCGUGCGGGGGGGCUACUAGUGCUGCGGACGCUGACGGCGCUGGCGAUGCCGUGCACGCGGUGCAGCAAGUAUAUUCGUUCCUUUCACUAAGUUUCAUUCUGCCAUCUCUUUUUGUUCCUCAG